rnacentral:lncRNA from 1 species
AUGCGCGGUCUGCCUCCCGCGGCGGGCCGGGUCUCCAGGGAGGACCUGAGUUUUUCUUCACCCAUGGUCAGGGAGGCGCCAUCGCCCUGGCUUUGGGGCUGGGGCCUCCGGGGAGGUUCCGGUAGGGGCGUUGGAGAGGCCGCUCUUUUUGCAAGGCCCGAGAUGGCGGGCCCUGCGCAGGCCGCCCUAUUCCGCGCCCUCAGGGCGUCAGUAUCCGCCUGAGGCCGGAUACCCACUCUGGGCUCGGAUACCCGCGCUGGGCCCGGAGCAUCCUCGGCGCUGCCCUCCCAGAGCCCCGCAGAGGCUGAGGUGGCGCGGGGGCGGCCCCGGCUCCGCGAGAAGAGGCGGCAGCGAGGGCUGGAGGACCCGGGCUACGGGGCUCCGGGGCGUCUGGCCUGGGUGGGACUGAGCCCAUCCAGGGACUGGGACUCCGGGGUUCUGGUGUAGGUGGAUCCCGGGCAGGCUCAGGACCAAGACCCUCUCCUUCCACCAAGGAGCGCCCAGAGGCCGGCGGGAGCUCCAGGUUCACCUCCUCCUCCUCCAGGGACGACUUGAGAAGGCAUCCUGACCCUAUGCAGAAAUGCAGAAACACUUCCAUGAGCUAAACAACCUAUGUGAAGGCCUGAAAGCCAAAGCAAGAUCCUCUUAUUACAAAGCUGUCCAACAAAAAGUUUUCCAAGUAACACUGGAGGUCCAUCACUCACUCUUCCUGGUCUGGAAAUGCCAGAAAUGUCCUCCUUGGUCCUUCUGAGAGUCAAGAUCUUUUCAAAGUCACCUCAGGAGCCACAGAACCACUCCAUCCUACCUGAAAUUGCAGGAUGACUCUUCUUUUGACCAGAGUCUCAAAAAUAUAUUCGUUGAUAAUUUUGAUUCCUGGGAGCCGCCAUUGCUUGCAAAAGAUGUGCCAGGGACUAGACAUUUUCUGUCUCCUCACUUGUCCGGGGAAGACUGAAGUUUUACUGAAACACAGAGAUGGGAAUCUGACCCUCUGAGCAGCCUCAGGAUUUUCUAAGUCUUCCAAGCAGAGUGGAAAUACUGGAAAUCCCACUUCCAGCUGGAUGUCUGGAUGAACUCCUGAAAGCUGCUGAGUGUCCUGCAGCAGGUGAGCUGUGGCCAGAGCCCAAGGAUGAAGGGGACUCCCUCACUCUGUGACUGUGAAGAGGAAGCCUGAGGUGUAGCAGGCCCAGGCCCCAGAAGUAUGGAAAAAAUGAGCCUUUCAUCCCAAAGAUGCAGCCGACUUGAUUGUGGUGGAUGAGCUUUUUGAUGUGCUGCUGGAUUCUGUUUGCUAGUAUUCUAUUAAGAAUUUUUGCAUUGAUGUUCAUCAGGGAUAUUGGCCUGGAUUGAGCAGGCCAUUUCCAAUCCAGAGGAAGACCUUCUAGAAGAAGUGAUGGGUGGGAGAGUGCUGACAUACUAUGCAAAGCUACUAUUUGGAGUUGGACACGAGUGCAUGUGACCUUGUGCCACAGCGGGAAUGUGAGCUGGAUGACAAAUGGAGAUUUGGACUUGUGAUAAUUGGCCUCUGUGUCAUUGUGUGGAAGACUGACUGGUCCCUUUAUUUCCUGUAGCUUGACUACCACACAAAUUAAUCCACUCAAAUGUUGGCAAGUGGAGCAGAGUCCCAGGACAGUCUGCAAUCUCUACAGGUACAGAAACACCCCCAGUUCAAGGAUCUUCACACCUGGAUUUAGGCCUACACCUGCAACUACCCCAGGCCAGUUAUCCAGGCAGUGACUUUCUGUACAGCUACAGUCACCUCUGGACACCUGCGGAGACUUUAAAAAUUUCCAGAAGGUCAGGAAUUUUUGGAGACCUUUCUUAUGGCUACGUUGCCUGCAAAGGUGAAUCAAUAAGCUUCUGAACUGACUUAGAAAAUGUUGCAGAGACUCUUGUGAACAGAUAGACCCUCUCCUGCCACUCCAGAUAGACGUAUCCGGGUCACACACACCUGAUUUAACAACAUCUCAUUAUCUCAGGCACCAAUUUGAUCUUCUACUACUUUGCAGACAUCUCUUCUGCAAACACCAGACAAACUGAGACAAUGAACUUCCGCAGGACCCAAAGCACCUCUUACUGCAGGAAAGAAGAUCCAGUGAGAUAGUUAGUCCACAAAUGGAAUGUCAAUCCAUAAACACACUUAAGUAACAGAAUAAAUUUAGUAUGAGCGUUUUUAUGUGGGAGCUCUUGAAAUGGUUGCUGCUCAUAUGUCAGAGACAUAUGCAGUUUAAGAAAGGUAGCAGUUCCAAUCCUGGUUUGGCCCAACAGUCACUGCAUUUUUGGUGGGGAAAAGGGAUGUGGGAGGAGAUGGUACAUCUUCAUCUUUUUCUCUGGGUUUUCUGUCAGAAAGGGAUGUUGCUUACUCCAGUGGCAAAAAAUGCCAGUGUCUUCUGCCAGAGUGGGUUACUGAGGGCCAUGGUGGUUCCACCUUGUGGCUGAUACAGAUAGUCCCUUUCUGCUUUUGUUUCUAGCCAAAAAAGAUGUUUCUCGCAUCUCAGGUAUGCAGACUUCAGCAGCUGUUUUUUCUAUAUGGCUAUUUUUUUUUUCUUUCACUCUCUCUUUCUCUCUUUUUUUUUUGUUGGCUUCACUGUGUUGCCAUAGUUUCUUAAAUGGUCCCUUGAACCCUCCCAGAGCUAUUUUGGUUUGUACAUAACUAUCUAUAUAUUUUUUUCUUGGGGGGAGUGUGUAGAGCUAAAGGCUGGUAUAUCCUGCUCCUGCUCCCCGAAAGUGACGUUAUUCCCCCAAGCUAAUAUUUCAGGCUUUCAAUUUAUUCAUGCUUUCAUCUGUUUAAACAUAAGUAGAAAUUACUUUUUCUCUCCACAUUUAGAUUUGAUCUAUCUACUUUAAUUGCUAAUAGUGUCUUAGUCAUAGAAUAGAUUAGUUAGAAAAAAGUGUUUUUGACAUUAUAAAUGAUUCUUUCAAUUUGUGUCUAAAAGUGGAAAAUACUAGAAAGCUUAACAUUUAUUAUUGUAUUCAGACCAGUAUUUCCUCCAGAUGACCUUUAUUACAACAAAGAUAAUUUAAUGAAGAUCUCUCUAAUGGUAAAGCUGAUGGCUUUGUGCUAUUACAAUAUCCUUCAAAUAAAGUGACGAUCUGGUGGAAAGAACAACUAAAGCAAGGAUUAGGAAGAAAACAGUUAAUACCUUCAUUUUGGUCUCACUCUGCAUUAAGAGUUUUCAUUGUGUUAAGGAUUUAUUAUACAUUAAGUAAUUUAAUGUUCAUUUAAUAAUAAAUGGAUCCUAUUAAAUAUGAUUUUUAAAAUUAUAAUCACA